rnacentral:rRNA from 1 species
GAUGAACGCUAGCUACAGGCUUAACACAUGCAAGUCGAGGGGAAACGACAUCGAAAGCUUGCUUUUGAUGGGCGUCGACCGGCGCACGGGUGAGUAACGCGUAUCCAACCUGCCCACCACUUGGGGAUAACCUUGCGAAAGUAAGACUAAUACCCAAUGACGUCUCUAGAAGACAUCUGAAAGAGAUUAAAGAUUUAUCGGUGAUGGAUGGGGAUGCGUCUGAUUAGCUUGUUGGCGGGGUAACGGCCCACCAAGGCGACGAUCAGUAGGGGUUCUGAGAGGAAGGUCCCCCACAUUGGAACUGAGACACGGUCCAAACUCCUACGGGAGGCAGCAGUGAGGAAUAUUGGUCAAUGGGCGAGAGCCUGAACCAGCCAAGUAGCGUGCAGGAUGACGGCCCUAUGGGCUGUAAACUGCUUUUAUAAGGGAAUAAAGUGAGCCUCGUGAGGCUUUUUGCAUGUACCUUAUGAAUAAGGACCGGCUAAUUCCGUGCCAGCAGCCGCGGUAA